CCUACGGGCGGCAGCAGUGAGGAAUAUUGGUCAAUGGGCGCGAGCCUGAACCAGCCAAGUAGCGUGAAGGAUGACUGCCCUACGGGUUGUAAACUUCUUUUAUAAAGGAAUAAAGUGUUGCACGUGUGCCUUUUUGUAUGUACCAUAUGAAUAAGGAUCGGCUAACUCCGUGCCAGCAGCCGCGGUAAUACGGAGGAUCCGAGCGUUAUCCGGAUUUAUUGGGUUUAAAGGGAGCGUAGGUGGAUUGUUAAGUCAGUUGUGAAAGUUUGCGGCUCAACCGUAAAAUUGCAGUUGAAACUGGCAGUAUUGAGUACAGUAGAGGUGGGCGGAAUUCGUGGUGUAGCGGUGCAAUGCUUAGAUAGCACGAAGAACUCCGAUUGCGAAGGCAGCUCACUGGACUGCAACUGACACUGAGGCUCGAAAGUGUGGGUAUCAAACAGGAUUAGAGACCCGUGUAGUC
rnacentral:rRNA from 1 species